ensembl:snoRNA
AGCCUUUUGUAGUUUAUAAGUGUGAUGAUUGGGUUUUCACACCAUUGGGUGACAUGUGCCUCCCUCAAACCUUGUUACGACCCUGCCACAUUACCUGUCUGAUG